rnacentral:rRNA from 1 species
UACGUAGGGUGCAAGCGUUAAUCGGAAUUACUGGGCGUAAAGCGUGCGCAGGCGGUUGUGCAAGACAGAUGUGAAAUCCCCGGGCUCAACCUGGGAAUUGCAUUUGUGACUGCACGGCUAGAGUGCGUCAGAGGGGGGUAGAAUUCCACGUGUAGCAGUGAAAUGCGUAGAGAUGUGGAGGAAUACCGAUGGCGAAGGCAGCCCCCUGGGAUAACACUGACGCUCAUGCACGAAAGCGUGGGGAGCAAACAGG